UUGAGCUUAAGAGAAACAAAAACGAGGCCUCAAUUAGUCAGAUUGCGUCAGUUAUUCACCAAAAUCAGAAGAAAACUACAGAUACCUAGGCUGUAAUUGGUUACAAAGAAUACGUCAGAUCAAGAGGAUUCGAGCUAGAGUUUCUCAUGCGGUACCGGAACAAUCUUCAAUCUCGUUCUACUGCAGUUUCCGAUAGCACAAAUGAAAGAUGUGAUUUACUACAAUAUUGAAAAUGGCUUGAUUAACG